GACGAACGCUGGCGGCGUGCUUAACACAUGCAAGUCGAACGGAAAGGCCCUGCUUUUGUGGGGUGCUCGAGUGGCGAACGGGUGAGUAACACGUGAGUAACCUGCCCUUGACUUUGGGAUAACUUCAGGAAACUGGGGCUAAUACCGGAUAGGAGCUCCUGCUGCAUGAUGGGGGUUGGAAAGUUUCGGCGGUUGGGGAUGGACUCGCGGCUUAUCAGCUUGUUGGUGGGGUAGUGGCUUACCAAGGCUUUGACGGGUAGCCGGCCUGAGAGGGUGACCGGCCACAUUGGGACUGAGAUACGGCCCAGACUCCUACGGGAGGCAGCAGUGGGGAAUAUUGCACAAUGGGCGGAAGCCUGAUGCAGCAACGCCGCGUGCGGGAUGACGGCCUUCGGGUUGUAAACCGCCUUCGCCUGUGACGAAGCGUGAGUGACGGUAAUGGGUAAAGAAGCACCGGCUAACUACGUG
rnacentral:rRNA from 1 species